rnacentral:rRNA from 1 species
UACGUAGGGGGCAAGCGUUGUCCGGAUUUAUUGGGCGUAAAGAGCGUGUAGGCGGCCAGACAAGUCUGCUGUGAAAACUCGAGGCUCAACCUCGAGACGUCGGCGGAAACCAUCUGGCUAGAGUCCGGAAGAGGAGAGUGGAAUUCCUGGUGUAGCGGUGAAAUGCGUAGAUAUUGGGAGGAACACCAGUGGCGAAGGCGGCUCACUGGACCGGUACUGACGCUGAUGCGCGAAAGCGUGGGGAGCAAACGGG